UUGAACGCUGGCGGCAUGCCUUACACAUGCCAGUCGAACGGUAACGGGCCUUCGGGUGCCGACGAGUGGCGAACGGGUGAGUAAUACAUCGGAACGUGCCCGAUCGUGGGGGAUAACGAGGCGAAAGCUUUGCUAAUACCGCAUACGAUCUACGGAUGAAAGCAGGGGACCGCAAGGCCUUGCGCGGACGGAGCGGCCGAUGGCAGAUUAGGUAGUUGGUGGGAUAAAAGCUUACCAAGCCGACGAUCUGUAGCUGGUCUGAGAGGAUGAUCAGCCACACUGGGACUGAGACACGGCCCAGACUCCUACGGGAGGCAGCAGUGGGGAAUUUUGGACAAUGGGCGCAAGCCUGAUCCAGUCAUGCCGCGUGCAGGAUGAAGGCCUUCGGGUUGUAAACUGCUUUUGUACGGAACGAAAAGCCUUCUUUUAAUACAGGAGGGUCAUGACGGUACCGUAAGAAUAAGCACCGGCUAACUACGUG
rnacentral:rRNA from 1 species